rnacentral:lncRNA from 1 species
GCUGCUUAAGAUCAUUAAAUGGGCACUUUAAACAGAUUUCAUCUGUAUACUAAGUUUGUCAUCAGAAGAACAGUUGGAAAUUUUCUGAUUGGAUUCACCAGGAGCCCUGAACCUCCUAGAAGCAAUUAUGAGGAUGGGAUGACAGAGUGUGCUGCAGGAGCUAGAGAUUCUACUGGAACUUCCCAGCCGGCAAACUUAUGUGAAACUUUCUGGGAGGUGACAUGAGUGGAAUUCUGCCUGAUUCCGGUGAGCUCUCUACGUCACCUCAGAGACAGGGGAAAGAAGCCGGAAGCAGACCCAGGCCUGUCUUCAUCCACCCUCAGCUAGCACAUGGCGAGCAUUCAAGAAUGGAGGCUGGGGCGACUGGGUGGCUCAGUUGGUUAAGCAUGUGCCUUCGGCUCAGGUCAUGAUCUCAGGGUCCUGUGAUGAGUCCCGCAUUGGGCUCCUUGCUCAGUGGGGAGCUUGCUUCUCCCUCUCCCUCUGCCUCUGCUUGUGCUCUCUCUCCAACAAAUAAAUAAUAGUAAUAAUAAAAAGAA